GUGUUUUCUUUUUCCUUUUU
rnacentral:miRNA from 1 species